UACAGAGGGUGCAAGCGUUAAUCGGAAUUACUGGGCGUAAAGCGUGCGAAGACGGCUGCGUAAGUCAGAUGUGAAAGCCCCGGGCUCAACCUGGGAAUUGCAUUUGAGACUGCGUAGCUAGGGUGCGGAAGAGGGAAGCGGAAUUUCCGGUGUAGCGGUGAAAUGCGUAGAUAUCGGAAGGAACACCAGUGGCGAAAGCGGCUUCCUGGUCCAGCACCGACGUUCAGGCACGAAAGCGUGGGGAGCAAACAGG
rnacentral:rRNA from 1 species